rnacentral:rRNA from 1 species
UACCAGCACCCCGAGUGGUCGGGACGAUUAUUGGGCCUAAAGCAUCCGUAGCCGGUUCUAGAAGUCUUCCGUUAAAUCCACCUGCUUAACAGAUGGGCUGCGGAGGAUACUAUAGAGCUAGGAGGCGGGAGAGGCAAGCGGUACUUAGUGGGUAGGGGUAAAAUCCGUUGAUCCAUUGAAGACCACCAGUGGCGAAGGCGGCUUGCCAGAACGCACUCGACGGUGAGGGAUGAAAGCUGGGGGAGCAAACCGG